rnacentral:rRNA from 1 species
UGGGGAAUAUUGGACAAUGGGCGCAAGCCUGAUCCAGCAAUGCCGCGUGUGUGGAGAAGGCCUUCGGGUUGUAAAGCACUUUUAUCAGGAGCGAAACGCUGUCGGCUAAUACCCGGCGGAACUGACGGUACCUGAGGAAUAAGCACCGGCUAACUUCGUGCCAGCAGCCGCGGUAAUACGAAGGGUGCAAGCGUUAAUCGGAAUUACUGGGCGUAAAGCGUGCGUAGGCGGUUUCUUAAGUCUGCUGUGAAAUCCCCGGGCUCAACCUGGGAAUGGCAGUGGAUACUGGGAGGCUAGAGUGUGUCAGAGGGUGGUGGAAUUCCCGGUGUAGCGGUGAAAUGCGUAGAGAUCGGGAGGAACAUCAGUGGCGAAGGCGGCCACCUGGGACAACACUGACGCUGAGGCACGAAAGCGUGGGGAGCAAACAGGAUUAGAUACCCUGGUAGUCCACGCCCUAAAGCGAUGCGAACUGGAUGUUGGUCUCAACUCGGAGAUCAGUGUCGAAGCUACGCGUUAAGUUCGCCGCCU